GGGGUGACCACAUCUGCAUGCAGUAUUGAAGAUGUGGGUGUACCAUGGAUUUAUAUAGAGUUUGAUAGAAGUCUGCUGUAUGGACUACUUGUCUAGAGCUGGUGCAGGACACACAGAAAACACACACACAGCCAACAACUGACAACACUGGUGACCCCGACCGCUGAUCUGGUCUCGUGGGAGAUUCGGUGACGUUCCCAGAUCUUCUGCCUCCCCAGUUCAUCUAUUUCAACAUUGUGGGCUCCCAGCAGCACGGUGAUGGUACUGUGAAAUACAAGAGGAUGCAGGUGCUGCAGACAGGCCAAUACUUGGAGUCCUAUGCUCCCCAAAAUAUCCCCCCAAGCCCCUUCACCCCCUUUCCUGGGGAGGCUUGAGAAUAAUAUACCAACCAAUAGGUUAAUAAAAUGAGCACAGACCAAAUCCCUGGUUUUUAGG